CACAGACACAAACACACACUCACAAACACACACAGACAUUAACUUUUUUUUUUUAAUUUAAAUCCCCCCCCAACCUCCUUACCUUUGGGAGUGCUGGGGGGGGGGCGGGGGGUCUCUCUCCCUGGUGGUCCAGUGGCUGCAGGGCGGGCGGCCGGCCGGCCGGCGAGGGAGCACUUCCCAUGAGCUGACUGCUCAGCUCCC